rnacentral:rRNA from 1 species
UAAGGAAUAUUGGUCAAUGGACGCAAGUCUGAACCAGCCAUGCCGCGUGAAGGAUGAAGGUCCUCUGGAUUGUAAACUUCUUUUAUCUGGGACGAAAACGGGAUUUUUAUCUCAAUUGACGGUACCAGAGGAAUAAGCACCGGCUAACUCCGUGCCAGCAGCCGCGGUAAUACGGAGGGUGCGAGCGUUAUCCGGAUUUACUGGGUUUAAAGGGUGCGUAGGUGGGCUUAUAAGUCAGUGGUGAAAUCUCCGAGCUUAACUUGGAAACUGCCGUUGAUACUAUAGGUCUUGAAAUAUCUGGGGGUAAGCGGAAUAUGUCAUGUAGCGGUGAAAUGCUUAGAUAUGACAUAGAACACCAAUUGCGAAGGCAGCUUACUACAUAUAAAUUGACGCUGAGGCACGAAAGCGUGGGGA